rnacentral:lncRNA from 1 species
UUUAAUAUUUUUUGCAGGGCAUGCACAAGGAGAAUAAUAAUGGGCAGGGACUUGCAAGUUGAAGUUUAAAGUUCAGAAAUAAAAUAAUAAUCAGGAAAAAUAUAUUCUAAUAUUUACUUUGUAUUUAUCAUUCCUGUGAUUCAUAUGGAUGACAAUAACUAGGAAAUAAUAUUUGGUAGGAGCAAGGAAAAAAAAGAAAAAGGUAGAAGAAGGGGAAGAGUGUCCAGAAGUAUGAUUUGCAAAACCCAGAAAAUAUGGAUAUAAAUUGUUGGUGAGUAAGAAAUGUUAGAUAAAAAAGUUGGUUUAAUUCUAAAAUUGUUCACGAGUCAAGAAAUGUUGAUUUAUGUUAACAAUUGUUUGCAAACAUUAAAAAGUGAUGGUGAGUGUCUAAAAUAAAUUAAAGAAAAUUUUGAUCUUCACGAGCU